rnacentral:lncRNA from 1 species
UUUUGGGUAGGAUUUGAAAUGAGGUAUACUUGUAUCACAUAAUAUUGCAAAGUCAAAGACCGGAUCCACGGAGAUGCAAAUCAUACAAUCUGACCAAGAAGUGAAUGUGUUUUGAAUUUCUUGGUGGAAUUUAUUUGAAGUCUUUUUUUGCAUGACUCUCCCUUUUUUGGGGGGAUAUGACUAUCUUUCUUCUUUUUCUUUUCUCUUUUUUCUAUAUCAUGCUUUUGAGCAUGGAUAACUUUUCUUUUUCUUUCUUCUUUUUGUG